UUCACACACAUCAUUUAACUUAACCUUCAUGUCAACCUUCAAAGAUGAGAAUUAUUAUGCCCAUUUUAUAGAUGAGGAAACUGAGGCUCACAGAGUAUGACUUGCCCAAAGCCUCAGGGCCAUUAAAGGAGAGAUGGGAUGUGUGGCUGGGCCUGGCUCCAAAGUCCAUGCUUUUCCCCCUACCCUUCUGCCUCCCUGGCACAGAUGGACUAGGGUGGCAGAAAGAGCACUGGAUCCUAGCUGGUAAAUGGUCUGGCCUCCACUCCCAGACGCCGCUGAGUGGACAGCCUUGGACAGGUUGCUGGCCCCACCCCUAGUGCCUCUGUCCCCAGAUCUUUAUCUAUGAAAUGAGGGGUUUGACCAGAUGGCUAAGGUCCCUCCCACUCUUACUUUCUCACAGUGUCUCUAUGACUAAUGCAAUUGUGCUUCCUUUCCCGGGACUCUGCCGUGCCUGGUGAUCACAUCAUAUGUUCAGCAGACCUGUAUCCAGGGAGAGCAUCUUCCAAAGGCCCAGGUUGAGUUACUGUGGUGCCACUCAGCCAAGGAUGAAGGGGUGAGAUGGACCACUGAUCUUCAAGUCCCCUCCCGUGCUAUGUGAGAUUCCAGCACAGAUCAGAGGGCAAACAGAUGCAAGGCUUCCCUGGUGGCGCAGUGAUUAAGAAUCCACCUGACAAUGCAGGGGACACGGGUUCGAGCCCUGGUCCGGGAAGAUCCCACAUGCCGCGGAGCAGCUAAGCCCGUGCACCACAACUAGUGAAUCUGUGCCCUAGAGCCCACAAGCCACAACUACUGAGCCCACGUGCCACAACUACUGAAGCCUGUGUGCCUAGAGCCUGUGCUCCACAACAAGAGAAGCCACCACAAUGAGAAGCCCGCACACUGCAAAGAAGAGAGGCUCCUGCUUGCUGUAACUAGAGAAAGCCCAAGCGCAGCAGCCCAAUGAAGCAAAAAAAAAAAAAAAAGUUCUCAUCACAUGAAAAAAAAAUUUUGUAACUAUGUGUGGUGAUGGAUGUUAACUAGACUUAUUGUGAUCAUUUCACAAUAUACACAAAUAUCAAAUCAUUAUGUUGUAUACCUGAAACUAAUGUAAUAUAUGUCAAUUAUAUCUCAAUUAUAAAAAAGAAGUGUGUGUAGAAAAUACAACGAAGGGAUUGAUUAGCUUGUGUGAAUGGUGUAUAAAGAACAGGGAGGGCUUUUGAAAGAGAUGACAUCUAAACUGUGUUUAAAAAAAAAAAAUCAGAAUUUUCCAGGCAGGGGGAUUUUCCAGGAGGAGAGGUUAGGCGCACUGAAGGGAAUGGGGAGCAGUGGAAGUGAAGGUUUGGACCCCAUAUACAGUCUUUACAAAAUGAUUACCAAACGGCAUGGGGCUCUGGCAGUCUGAGCUGCCUGAAGGGACUUGGCCACAGAUCCUUACAAGAGAAAACAAAGGUGAAAUUGAGUAACAGAAAGAAGGAAAAUAAUGAACAAGUG